GAUGAACGCUGGCGGCGUGCCUAAUACAUGCAAGUCGAGCGAACGGACGAGAAGCUUGCUUCUCUGAUGUUAGCGGCGGACGGGUGAGUAACACGUGGAUAACCUACCUAUAAGACUGGGAUAACUUCGGGAAACCGGAGCUAAUACCGGAUAAUAUUUUGAACCGCAAGGUUCAAAAGUGAAAGACGGUCUUGCUGUCACUUAUAGAUGGAUCCGCGCUGCAUUAGUUAGUUGGUAAGGUAACGGCUUACCAAGGCAACGAUGCGUAGCCGACCUGAGAGGGUGAUCGGCCACACUGGAACUGAGACACGGUCCAGACUCCUACGGGAGGCAGCAGUAGGGAAUCUUCCGCAAUGGGCGAAAGCCUGACGGAGCAACGCCGCGUGAGUGAUGAAGGUCUUCGGAUCGUAAAACUCUGUUAUUAGGGAAGAACAUAUGUGUAAGUAACUGUGCACAUCUUGACGGUACCUAAUCAGAAAGCCACGGCUAACUACGUG
rnacentral:rRNA from 1 species